rnacentral:rRNA from 1 species
AACGCGAAGAACCUUACCUAGGCUUGACAUGUACUGGAAUAUUGGCGGAAACGCCGUAGCUCGCAAGAGUCGGUACACAGGUGCUGCAUGGCUGUCGUCAGCUCGUGUCGUGAGAUGUUGGGUUAAGUCCCGCAACGAGCGCAACCCUGCAUUUAGUUGCCAGCAUUCAGUUGGGCACUCUAGAUGGACUGCCGGUGUUAAACCGGAGGAAGGUGGGGAUGACGUCAAGUCCUCAUGGCCCUUAUGCCUAGGGCUACACACGUGCUACAAUGGUGGUCACAGACUGAAGCGAAGCCGCAAGGCGAAGCAAAUCGGACAAAAGCCAUCUAAGUUCAGAUUGAUCUCUGCAACUCGAGAUCAUGAAGUUGGAAUCGCUAGUAAUCGCGGAUCAGAACGCCGCGGUGAAUACGUUCCCGGGCCUUGUACACACCG